rnacentral:lncRNA from 1 species
AAUCUGUUAAAGUUGUUAAGCAACACAGUAUCACAUGUUUCCAUGUUAAAAAUGUAAAGUGUCCAGUAGUGACUUUAUAGAGACUUUCAGAGCUUUGUUUCCAAAUAUUAAAUUUCCUUCUAAUAUUAUUGAUAUUAAAGUACAAAUUCUAUGUUGUCCUUUGUGUUAAAAUCACCAGCUUUGUGGAAAUGAAAUAUGGCAUUUAUUAAAAUACUGUUAUAAGAUAUAAGUUGCUUCACAACUAAAAAUAAACAUAGUUUCAGUGUUUUGGUUGUAUUAGAUUGACCACAGAAGGGCUAAGAUUUUGAGUUUUAGAAAGAAGAUAAGUACAUUCUUUAAAAUCACAUUUAUUUUCAUGGUUUGAUAAUGACUAUACAAAGCUUAUUUUCAAUGUAAAAAUCUAUUAACAAAAAAUAUUAUAGAAACCUUAAAACAUUAAAGAUGUUAUAUUAUUAAUUUCUAUGUUUAUAGAUAAUAAAACUGAGCUAUGAACAUAUACUAUAGUUUUCUCAUAGAUCAUAGAGUUAUAAAACUAUGUGCCCAGGACUCAUAAUACUACUGCCAAAAUGUUAUAAGGUCACAAUAAUGAAAGAAAUGCCUUUAUUAAAAACUCUCUUAUUAUUAACUUGAUUCUUUAGAAUUGUUUAAGUUAUUGUUUUUUCAUACUUUAAUUAAACUUGUUCAAUAAACUAAGACCACAGGUAAUAGAAGAAAACCUGCAGCAGAACAAUAGAAUACCGUACAUCAGUGGCAAGUAGUUUGAGGAAAGCACCAUCAAGCCUUCAGCAGUAAUUUAUUGAACUCUGGUUUUUUGUUUGUUUGCUUUGAUUUGAUUUCAUAUUUUCUUGCAAUUCCCUUCAAGUUUCAAGUAAAGCUGACCUACAGCUUGCACGGAGUAUUAGACCAUCUGUCCCUAUGAACACUGGGUGAGUUCUUUGUUUGAAGCUUUGUGGACUUCAGAGAAACCAGCAAAUAUCUCUAGGCUUCCCAGUGUCACUUUACUAUAAACAUAACAUGUAAAUUUCAUUUUUCUCUAGUGCUUAGAAACAGCAUAAUAAAUUUUAAAAAAUUAAAGGAGAGGAAUGUAAACUGCUACAAUAAAAUAACAUAACUGGUUUUCAAUGUUUUUUUUUUAAUUUAGUGGGAGGUUAUAAAUACAGUAGAAUUGCUUCAGCAAACUUCAGAACAUUGCCUUGCUCCAACAUAGAUUGCUACUCCAUUUAAGAAGUGAUCAAGCAUAAUCAUUGCCAUUGCGUUUGCAUUUUAUCUGUUGAUUCAAACUGUAGUUUCAAGGGGACAAAAUACAAUGCAUUCUUAAAUUCUUAAAUUCUAUAAUGAUUUGAGGAAAUAUGAAAAAAAAUUAAAGACUUCACCAAAUGUGAAUCAUUGUCUGAGAGGUGUUAUUUUGUACAACUAAGAUCCCCCUGUCUUGACUAAAAGCUCAGUAUAGCUGGGCAGCAGAAAUUCAACUGUGCAAAGGCAACUUGUGUUUCAGGAAUUAGCUAUUUCCCACCGUUAUGUCAGAUAUCGAGUGGAAACACUCAGCUCUUCUGUAUAGCAUAGGAAUAUCAGGUUUUACUGCACCUAUUCAGAGUGUUAUCAAGUAUGACAUACUAUAUAAAGCUAAAGGUGUUGGGUAAGCUCUAAAAAUUUGCUUAAACCUCGUUGGUAUAGAUUUGUUCCCCCUAAUUUUUGUCUUAAGGUGUUUAAUACAUUCUAAAGCAAAUUUCCAUUGACUCUGCAUUCAAAAAUCCCCAUGAGAAAGUAGUGAUGCAAUACAGUCUUUUGUCAAUAAAUGUGUUUAAGAUG